CCGCCGCAGUAAUGGGGAGUAGCCUACUUCCGCCCCAGGAAGCGCACGCGUCAACAUACUCGGUGAUAUCACCGUGGCGCGUGCAGCCAUAGCGCUCGGCGAGACCAUGAACACAACAGCCGGGUAGUCGUCGGGCCUGUCUGUUGUGUCCUGGUUUCCGACACACGCUAUGGU
rnacentral:sRNA from 1 species